rnacentral:misc_RNA from 1 species
GAUGAAGAACGUAGCGAAAUGCGAUAAGUAAUGCGAAUUGCAGAAUUCCGUGAGUCAUCGAAUCUUUGAACGCACAUUGCGCCCCCCGGUAUUCCGGGGGGCAUGCCUGUUCGAGCGUCAUUGUCAACCCUCAAGCUCGGCUUGCUGUUGGGUCCCCGUCGUUGCUCCAACGGCGGACCCGAAAGACAAUGGCAGAGUCUGCGGGACCCUGGAUGCAGCGAGCUUCUGGCACGCGUCUGGACGGUCUCUGGGCUUGGCCUCCACCAAUCGUCAACCUGUGAUUGACCUCGGAUCAGGUAGGGAUACCCGCUGAACUUAAGCAUAUCAUAAGCGGAGGA